rnacentral:rRNA from 1 species
GUGCCAGCAGCCGCGGUAAUACGAAGGGACCUAGCGUAGUUCGGAAUUACUGGGCUUAAAGAGUUCGUAGGUGGUUGAAAAAGUUGGUGGUGAAAUCCCAGAGCUUAACUCUGGAACUGCCAUCAAAACUUUUCAGCUAGAGUAUGAUAGAGGAAAGCAGAAUUUCUAGUGUAGAGGUGAAAUUCGUAGAUAUUAGAAAGAAUACCAAUUGCGAAGGCAGCUUUCUGGAUCAUUACUGACACUGAGGAACGAAAGCAUGGGUAGCGAAGAGGAUUAGAUACCCUCGUAGUCCAUGCCGUAAACGAUGUGUGUUAGACGUUGGAAAUUUAUUUUCAGUGUCGCAGGGAAACCGAUAAACACACCGCCUGGGGAGUACGACCGCAAGGUUAAAACUCAAAUGAAUUGACGGGGACCCGCACAAGUAGUGGAGCAUGUGGUUUAAUUCGAAAAUACGCGCAGAACCUUACCAACACUUGACAUGUUCGUCGCGACUCUAAGAGAUUAGAGUUUUCGGUUCGGCCGGACGAAACACAGGUGCUGCAUGGCUGUCGUCAGCUCGUGUCGUGAGAUGUUGGGUUAAGUCCCGCAACGAGCGCAACCCUCACUUUUAGUUGCCAUCAUUAAGUUGGGCACUCUGAAAGAACUGCCAGUGAUAAGCUGGAGGAAGGUGGGGAUGACGUCAAGUCCUCAUGGCCCUUACGUGUUGGGCUACACACGUGCUACAAUGGCAUCUACAACAGGAAGCAAAACGGCAACGUUAAGCAAAUCCCGAAAAGAUGCCUCAGUUCGGAUUGCACUCUGCAACUCGAGUGCAUGAAGCUGGAAUUACUAGUAAUCGUGGAUCAGCGUGCCACGGUGAAUGCGUUCCCGGGUCUUGUACACACCGCCCGUCACACCAUGGGAGUUGGUUCUACCUUAAGGCAAGGUUUUAAACCCUUGACCACGGUAUAGUCAGCGACUGGGGUGAAGUCGUAACAAGGUAGCCGUCCCUA